GACGAAGAAUAAACGAGAAAUAGAGGCGGAAUAGGAGAAGGAGCUAAGGUGGAAUAUUUAGAUGUUUGUCGGGUUCCUGAAGAUGCGUCGACGUGUUAUCAUCCACGCAAGCUUCCGCAACCCAGCCAGUGUACCACAGGACGGGAAGAGGAAGCCAGCGGCUGCAUGCACCAUUGAACAGGACGGCAUUGUAUUCCUCCCACAGGAGUGACUACAGCGAAGCAAGCCCAGAAUAAAGUGUUGAGUGACCGUGAUGAUUCAGUACUACUAACACCAAAGAAGUGAAGGAAGUGUUCGGAGUGAACGUGCAAGACAUACAACAGACACCAGACUGCUGCCGCUGCUGCUACUGCCGGUGUAGCCAAAGGAACAAAAGGUCCGGAGCAGGAGGAAGAAAUGGGUGAUUCUUGGAAACGCAGCAAUGAAGUUGUGAAGGUUGGCCACAAAUCUUCAUCACUGGUGUAGUGUAUUUCAUUGACCAUUUGUAGAUUGGGUGGAUAAACUUGUAGAUUUUGUAGACAGUUGUAGAUGUGUAGCUAGUGGGUAAGGUUUUUUGCAAUGCCUUAUCUACACCAGCAGAAAACAGUGAUAUGGACAACUUGUGCAUAGUGAUAGCAGUGUACAGUGUACAUGUAUACCUCUUUUUCUUUUCAAUGGUAAAUAUUUCUAUUUAAUAUGUUCUAUUUGAUAUGUUUAAUAUGUUUUCAUGUGUUAUUUUAUAUACCUUGCAUUGUGUUAUUCCCUGUGUAAAUCCUCUGCUUUCACGUGUGAAAUGUAUACCAGUAUCCAAUUUUCACCCUUAAUUAAUGCGUCCUGUUAUAGGCUUAUUAGUUUUUCAUAUU